rnacentral:rRNA from 1 species
UAUGCAUAGGAAUCUACCUAGUAGUAUAGGAUAGCCACUAGAAAUGGUGGGUAAUACUGUAUAAUCCCUGCGGGGGAAAGAUUUAUCGCUACAUGAUGAGCCUAUGUUAGAUUAGCUAGUUGGUGGGGUAAUGGCCUACCAAGGCAGUGAUCUAUAGCUGGUCUGAGAGGAUGAUCAGCCACACUGGAACUGAGACACGGUCCAGACUCCUACGGGAGGCAGCAGUGGGGAAUAUUGGACAAUGGGCGCAAGCCUGAUCCAGCUAUGCCGCGUGAGUGAGGAAGGCCUUAGGGUUGUAAAACUCUUUCAGUGGGGAAGAUAAUGACGGUACCCACAGAAGAAGUCCCGGCAAACUCCGUGCCAGCAGCCGCGGUAAUACGGAGGGGGCAAGCGUUGUUCGGAAUUAUUGGGCGUAAAGGGCAUGUAGGUGGUUUGGUAAGUUAAAGGUGAAAUGCCAGGGCUUAACCCUGGAGCUGCUUUUAAUACUGCCAGACUGGG